rnacentral:lncRNA from 1 species
UUUAUUUUUGUUUCUUUUAUGCGGUGGGAUAACAUGGAGCAGUGGGGUGGAGCUCAACACUAUACGAUUGUCACUGUUGACAUCCGAGUUGGUUUGUAAGUUUGAAAGAUCUGACUACUGGUUUCUUUUUCUUUUUUAAGAGGGAAAGAGAGAUGCAUAGGCAUGUGAGAUAUGCCUCGCGGCUGACGGUGGUGGUUGUUGUGAAGCUAGCAGCGGCGACGGGUUUGCCUUACAGGUUUUCAGUAUAAUAUUGCUGGCGAUUCAGUCUAGAAACUGGUUACGUACUGGGUUGCGACUGCGAAAAGAAGAAAAGAUGAUUCCGGUCGGAGACUAUGCUACAAAGAGAUCUAAAAAGGGCCUGAAGGGCCUGUUCGAGAAUCUUGGGUUUCUUCACAUUUGGGAUUUUCUUUAG